rnacentral:lncRNA from 1 species
UGUAAUAGUUACACAUAAACACAACACCAUGAAAUGUUUUAUUGGUUUAAAUCUAUAGAUAUCAUUUGCUCCAUGCAGGUGUAGGUGUGUAGCUUUGCAUUAUAUCAAUAUUUAAUAAACAACUGCUAGAAAAUGAUGGGGAUCAAGAUAACUAAAAUAAAAAACAAUCGGUAAGAAAAUGAAAAGAAAAGUAAAGAAAAAGAGUUCCUAAUUUUCUACCCCUUUAACAGGUAUUAUGUAGCUGAACAUCCUUUGUCAUACCUUUUUUUCACUGCCUUAGAGAUCAAUUAUAUUUCUUUUUUUUUAGGCAAAAGGGGUGCAGAUGGAAAACCAACUACAACACCCUAGAUAGAUAAAUAAAAAGAAGGAAAUACAAAAAGAGAAGGGGGACAUGGACCAAAACCUUCUCAAGCAAAAAGAGCAAGAAAAUAAAAGCAUCAGCUGCAUAACAAAACAAAGAAAAGAAAAACAAACGCAACAAAAGGAAAACAAAGGGACACAUACUACAUCAAAUUACUUCCCGUAGAACUGGUAUAACGAACCGGAAAUGCCUUCUGCGGUUUCUUUUUCUUAGCCUUAGAAACCACUGUAAAAGGCUCUUCCAUGGCGGCAGAACAGCUCUUCAAAUAAUUAAUAGCUGCUGUUGUCUCUUCCUCAUUGGUAUACACCCAAUGCCCAGUGUCGCUAGCAAUGACGUUGGAAGAAGUACCACACCAAGAUGGGGAUCUUGAAUGUAGUCCAAGCUGUCACUGCGUCACUCCAGGAACCAACAAUCCGCAAGUCCGGAGUGAUACUCUCUGGAUCCACUUAUAUAAAAGGCUCUUUACUUGAAGUAACACGAUUCUAGAAAUAUUUAACAGCUGCCGUUGUCUCUUCAUCAUCUGUAUAUUAUCCUUCAAAUUCUGCAAUUCUAGAAAUGCUUUUUAUCCUUCAAAAAAUUCUCCAAUACCUCCAAGUCAAGAACAGCAUUGGGAUGUAUAUUAUCAUCAGUAACAGUUUAUAGAUAAUGGAUGUUUAUACAUAAUUGAAAAGACAAAUAAGGAAGAGUUAUUGUCUUUCAAACACCACCGACUCGCACUAGUAUCUAUAUAUAUAUAUAUAU